GUGCUCGCUUCAGCAGCACAUAUACUAAAAUUGGAACAAUACAGAAAAGAUUAGCAUGGCCCCUGUGCAAGGAUGACAUGCAAAUUCAUGAAGCAUUUAAUAUUAAA
ensembl:snRNA U6 U6 spliceosomal RNA